AUUGAACGCUGGCGGCAGGCCUAACACAUGCAAGUCGAACGAGUGGCGGACGGGUGAGUAAUGUCUGGGCAACUGCCUGAUGGAGGGGGAUAACUACUGGAAACGGUAGCUAAUACCGCAUACCAUCAGAUGUGCCCAGCUGGGAUUCGCUUGUGGGUGGGGUAACGGCUCACCCAGGCGACGAUCCCUAGCUGGUCUGAGAGGAUGACCAGCGACAGUGGAACUGAGACACGGUCCAGACUCUUACGGGAGGAAGCAGUGGGGAAUAUUGCACAAUGGGCGCAAGCCUGAGGGAGCCAUGCCGCGUGUAUGAAGAAGGCCUUCGGGUUGUAAAGUACUUUAAGCGGGGAGGCGUUACCCGCAGAAGAAGCACCGGCUAACUCCGUGCCAGCAGCCGCGGGAAUUC
rnacentral:rRNA from 1 species